GCCAAGCCUAGGGUAGCUCCCGAACGGUCGGAAGCCUUCGCCGGCCUGGCUUGGUGUUUUUCUAUGAAGG
rnacentral:sRNA from 1 species